UAGCAGGGACCCAAGAUGGCUGCCACAGAAAACACACCCAAAUGACGUGGCUCCCGGCCAGCCAGCUGUAUAACCAAACCCUUCAGUUCCACUAUAUUGACGGAUGCUACUUCUAGCCGUACUUGGAGGAGCUGAAGAGGCAUUUGGAGUUAACAACGAACAAGGCCUUGGAUUCCCAAAGGCCUGUGUGGACCAGCUGCUGUAUGUGGGAUCCUGCAGCAUCUCUACUGCCUUAGUCUGAUCCACGAAA